rnacentral:rRNA from 1 species
AUUGAACGCUGGCGGCAUGCCUUACACAUGCAAGUCGAACGGUAACAGGUCUUCGGAUGCUGACGAGUGGCGAACGGGUGAGUAAUACAUCGGAACGUGCCUAGUAGUGGGGAUAACUACUCGAAAGAGUGGCUAAUACCGCAUGAGAUCUACGGAUGAAAGCAGGGGAUCGCAAGACCUUGUGCUACUAGAGCGGCCGAUGGCAGAUUAGGUAGUUGGUGGGAUAAAAGCUUACCAAGCCGACGAUCUGUAGCUGGUCUGAGAGGACGAUCAGCCACACUGGGACGGAUAAGCGACACAGACUCCUACGGGAGGCAGCGGUGGGGAAUUUUGGACAAUGGGCGCAAGCCUGAUCCAGCAAUGCCGCGUGCAGGAUGAAGGCCUUCGGGUUGUAAACUGCUUUUGUACGGAACGAAAAGCCCUGGGUUAAUACCCUGGGGUCAUGACGGUACCGUAAGAAUAAGCACCGGCUAACUACGUGCCAGCAGCCGCGGUAACAC